rfam:Ovis aries breed Texel chromosome 1, whole genome shotgun sequence.
UCCCUGGUGAUCUAGUGGCUAGGAUUUGGCGUUUUCACCGCCGCGACCCGGGUUCGAUUCCCGGUCAGGGGA